rnacentral:rRNA from 1 species
CAGCAGCCACGGGAAUACGUAGGUGGCAAGCGUUGUCCGGAAUUAUUGGGCGUAAAGGGCUCGCAGGCGGUUUCUUAAGUCUGAUGUGAAAGCCCCCGGCUCAACCGGGGAGGGUCAUUGGAAACUGGGAAACUUGAGUGCAGAAGAGGAGAGUGGAAUUCCACGUGUAGCGGUGAAAUGCGUAGAGAUGUGGAGGAACACCAGUGGCGAAGGCGACUCUCUGGUCCGUAACUGACGCUGAGGAGCGAAAGCGUGGGGAGCGAACAGGAUUAGAUACCCCCGUAGUCCCUGUCUCUUAUAC